CCCCAGUAACGGCGAGUGAAGCGGCAACAGCUCAAAUUUGAAAUCUGGCCCCCCGCGGGCCCGAGUUGUACUUUGGAGAGGACGCUUCUGGCGCGGCGCCGUCCGAGUUCCCUGGAACGGGACGCCGGAGAGGGUGAGAGCCCCGUACGGGCGGCCGCCUAGCCUCUGCGAAGCUCCUUCGACGAGUCGAGUAGUUUGGGAAUGCUGCUCAAAAUGGGAGGUAAAUUUCUUCUAAAGCUAAAUACCGGCCAGAGACCGAUAGCGCACAAGUAGAGUGAUCGAAAGAUGAAAAGCACUUUGAAAAGAGGGUCAAACAGUACGUGAAAUUGUUGAAAGGGAAGCGCCUGUGGCCAGACUUGCGCCCCGCGGACCACCCGGCGCCUCGCGCGCCGGGGCACGCCAGCGGGGCGCAGGCCAGCAUCGGCUCUCUCGGGGGGACAAAGGCCGCGGGAACGUAGCGCCCUCGCGGCGUAUUAUAGCCCGCGGCGCCAUGCCCCCGGGGGGGCCGAGGACCGCGCUCCGGCAAGGAUGCUGGCGUAAUGGCCACCGGCGACCCGUCUUGAAACACGGACCAAGGAGUCAAGCAUUGGGGCGAGUGUCUGGGUGGCAAGCCCGCACGCGGAAUGAAAGUGAACGCAGGUGGGAGCUUCGGCGCACCACCGACCGAUCCUGAUGUCCUCGGAUGGAUUUGAGUAGGAGCCCCGCCGCUUGGACCCGAAAGAUGGUGAACUAUGCCUGUAUAGGGUGAAGCCAGAGGAAACUCUGGUGGAGGCCCGCAGCGGUUCUGACGUGCAAAUCG
rnacentral:rRNA from 1 species